GCUGCCUUCAUUUGGGUACAAAGGACAAGGGGAACCCCGAGACCGUGAAGCAGUGGGUGGUGGUGGAGAAGAAAUCACAUUCGCGUCUCCAGGCCCUCUCCCGCCUCCGAGACCAGCCCCUUCUCCCUGCCUGCCAGCUCCCAACAUUGGGGCCAUUGACGGGGCCCCUCACCAGCUGCCUGCCCUCUCCCUCACUUCAACCAGCUCCCUCUGCUGGACCAAGCCCAAGAGUAGGACCCAGCUGCAGCUCCAGAUGUGGAAGGCACAUGCUGGGGGAGGGGAGGAAGGGGAGCCUGCCUCCCAGCCUCUUGCAUCACCCUCAGAUGAGGAAGCCACAUCAGAGAUUCAGAAAAGGGCACAGGCUACGGGCAGAGGGCACAUCUUUGGUGCCAUCCUCCUCCCUUCCCCUCCCCCACCCAACCAAAAGAACUGCUCUAUCUGUAGCCCACAUCCCAGUUUGGUUUGGUCAGACCAAAAAGCAAAAGAUAAUUUCAAGGGCAGAUUUCAAGGGCAAAUCAACACCCUCUACCCCAAUCUGACGGAAAGCAGCAGCACCACCUCGGGUGUCCUUGGGUAGGAGGGGCAGGGGUGGGGGAGGGCCUGGCAGGACCCGGCACUCUCAGUAGCAUUUGAACCAAGAGGAAGAGCUCUCUGGGGCCAGUGCCUCCCCGACCCUGGAGCAGGAGACCAGCAGAGUGCUGAGCAGUCAGACCCUGGACAUGCUCUUCCAACCAAGAUGCGAACAGGGGAGGAGACUGACAUUUGUGGACCAUCUACACGAACAGGCACUUUGCACGCCUGUGCGCAUGUCAUGCUCAGCACCUGUGAGCUCGGCUUUAGUAGCAGUGCAGUGUUAGUCGCUCAGUCAUGUCCAGCUCUGUGACCACAGGUACUAUAGCCUGCCAGGCUCCUUUGUCCAUGGGACUUCCCAGUCAAGAAUACUGGAGGAGUGCCAUUUCUCCUUCAAGAGAUCUUCCUGACCCAGGAAUCAAACCCAAGUCUCCUGCGUUGCAGGCAGUUUCUUUACCAUCUGAGCCAUCAGGAAGAGCUUUAUUCGUUUCAGUUUUGCUAAAGGGGCACUGAGUCUCACCCAGCAUAUAAGCAACAGACACAGGAGCAAGCUCGUGCCUCCUGUGAAGUGCACCCAGACUCCCCAGGCCACCUCCAAGCAGCCGCCUGGGGAAAGGCACUGGGCAGCUGGACUCCAGACUUGUGCUCCCCAGACAGCAACGUUGCAUUUUGAAAGGCUGCUCUCCUGCCCAGCAGAGUCUGGGCUUCUCCAGGGGCUGGCUCUGGUUUCCCGCCUCCUGGAGGUCCCCUCUGACUUCAGAGGGUAGGUGACCUUCUGACUCAGCUUCACUGCUUCACUGCUGGGAAAUGGCGCCAGAGCCCUGUGCUGUCCCCUCCCCCAUCCCUCCAGGGCACAUGGUACUGAGCCCGGAGGAGCCAGGAAGCGCCUGGGCUGCAGCUUGGGCAUCCUAGAAGUCAGGACCUCCGGAUGACUCUCUCCUGGGCCACCAGGGAGCCGCAGGGCAGCCUGCUGACCGGAUCCUGUCUCCUGGAGCUGCCGGCCUAAGGCAAGGAGGUGAGGAGACCGAGGCCCAGGGAGGUGAAGAGACGUGUCCAGGGUCACGCAGCGCGCUGCUGAACUGGCACCCGAAACCCCAGAGGGGGCAGUGCCCCCACAGUGCAGCGGGAGGCACGGGCUGAACACCCGGCUGCUAGUGCGAGCUCACGGUUUGCAGAAGAGCCGAGUCUGCACAAAGGGACAGAAGACAGCCGGAAGCGGGAGUCACGGAGACGCGGCGAGACCCCUCUGGCAGUGUGACCAGGGCAAGUUAGGGAGCUGUGCCCAUUGUCUGCUCCACACCCCAGAAUGGGGACAGUCUGCUCCCUCACCAUGGGCUGCCACGGGCUGGAAAUGGGGUGGCCUGGGCAGAGCGUCCAGCACAAGGCUCCACCCAGGAUGGAAGUGAAUUUUCUUCACUCCUGUCCCUUCUUCUGCGAGCCCCACCGUCUGACUGGACAGAGGGCCAACCUGUCGUAAGAUGAACAGGAAGUGGGGCAUGAGUGUGUGUGAGGCUGGGCACAGGGGGUGUGCCACGGUUGCCUGCCCAAGGGGUCCUUGUCGCUGGGGGCGGGGAGGAUGUCCAGCCUCCGUCAGUGGAGGGGCCGGGAGUCAGGUAGGUGUCUGCAGGGCGGGAGGGCCCCUGGCACGCCGGUCCCCUGUGGAGCACGGAUGCCCCAGGUUCAGCCUCCCCGGCGCCACCUGGAGGGCAUCUAAGCUUUAUUUUACCUGCCCAAGGGCUCUCCCGGGCCGAAGAUGUUAAUGCACUUUCUCUUUCACUCCUCACAGUCUGUGAGGCAAACACUCAUUGUCCUCAUUUUGCAGAAGAGGAAAUGGGCUCAGAGGUCACUUGGCUAGUAUCUGGUCAUUAGUGUCUCCGGCAAGUAUUUCCGGCUCGCUGCCUCUGGCACAGGGCAGGCCGGCGUGUCCUCACUCUGGUGUGAGCUGUGGCUCUGUGACUUCCUUUGACCAAUGAAAUGCGAGUAGAACUCACAAGUAUCGCUUGUAGGUGGACGCUUCGCACACCCUGGCACCGCACACAAAUGCACGUGGUUUAGGGUGUCCACUAGGAACUGAGCCUACGAGCUGGUGUGUUACUUGGGCCGCGCCCCCCUCACCCCACACGCACGCCUGUACCGACACCCCUAGAAGGCGCAGAGCUGGCGUUCUGGUCUUAAAAGAUGCCCAGGGCCCCGAGUCUCUCAGGACUCCAGCUCCUCACACAGAACCACAGGCGCCCCUUUGGGGUUCUGGCCUCCAGGCUACGUGGAGCCCUGCCGGCAGGUAGAAGGGGGCAGGCGUCCUCAGGAACCACUCAGGGAAGCAAUUUGGAAAACCCCAGGGCCCUUCCGCGCCACUGGCCGUCUCCUGCCAAGGAGCGGUCAUGGACGGGGUGUCAGGACACACCUGUGCUAAUGCUGUGAGGCCCAGGGCCCGAUGGUGGACUCUUGUCUGACACUCGGAAAUGAACCGUCCGAGGAGACACGUGUGCUGACAAAGCAAGAAACUAUAGGGAGGGGCACCCAGGCAGAGAGCAGGAGGGCGAGGGAAGCAAGGAGAAGCGCUCCGCCCUGUGGCUCGCAGUCUCAGGCAUUAUGGUGAUGGGGUUAGUUUCUGAGUUGUCUCUGGCCAAUCAUUCUGACUCAGGGCCCUUCCUGGGAGCAGGCAUCACUAGCUGCCUCCUUCUCCCAGGAGGAUUCUGGGAGGUGGUAGGAUGUAUAGACUGGUGACCUUCUCCAGAUUCUUCUGGUUGGUGAGAGCUUGUUGGUUCCAAGUUCCUUCCCUGGCCCUCCUGUUGUCAGAUCACUCAUGCAGGUGGUUACCAUGGUGCCUGGCCAGGGUGGUGGUCUUGGACAGCGGCUCCCCUAACUUUGGCCCUGGCCCUGCUCAUUCAGCCUUCCCCGCGGCACUCUGUCAGUCCUCUCUGCAACAGGGCCUCUGCAAAGGGCUGGGUAACUGCCCAGAGACCCCAGACAGAUCUGUCUUCUCAGAGACAAAGUACCAGCUGCUGCCAUUUCUGACCAUGGUGCUGGCCAUCGAAGAAUUGAUGCCUUUGAACCGUGGUGUUCGAGAAGACUCUUGAGAGUCCCUUGGACUGUAAGGAGAUCCAACCAGUCCAUCCUAAAGGAAAUCAAUCCUGAAUAUUUGUAGGAAGGACUGAUGCUGAAGUUGAAGUUCCAGUAUUUUGGCCACCUGAUGCAGAGAGCCAACUCAUUGGAAAAGACCGUGAUGCUGGGAAAGAUUGAAGGUGGGAGGAGAAGCGGACGACAGAGGAUGAGAUGGUUGGAUGGCAUCACCGACUCAAUGGACAUGAGUUUGAGCAAGCUCUGGGAGUUGGUGAUGGACAGGGAGGCCUGGAAUGCUGCAGUCCCUGGGGUCACAAAGAGUCGGACACGACUGAGCAACUGAACAAGAAGAAAGGGUUAUCAACCAAGAGCUGUGAGGUCAGUUCUGCUUGGGGACUUUCUGAAGACUGUAGCCAGGAGACAGGCUCUUGGCAGCAACACGGAGCUGCUCAGAAGACGUGAGAACAAGUCAGCCUCCUGUGAUUUGGAGAAGGGGUAUGUGCCCCCGAGCAUACAUCUCACUAAGGGUUUGCUAGUCACGGGGGACAGAUGUCUCCGAUGACGAUUUUAGUGCUUUUCUAGGUGUCAGAAGAUACAAGAAAUUAGGCUCAUAAAAUCUGAAACAAUCUAAUGCUGAAGGUCAGCUCUGCAGGCUUUUCCUGGAGCACAGAGGGCCUCAUUUCUGAUCUCUGCCCUGAGCUCUUUCAGGGGGUGUUGAAGGUUGGCGACUGCAGUGGCCAGUGACGUCAUUCUUAUGGAACCAGGUGGAGAGUGGCCUUGUCAAAUGAACAGAGUUUCCUGCGGUCAUCAGAGAAGGCCCACUAGAGGAGACGGGCUGGGACGGAGGAGGGAGGUUGCUGGGUGCACAGAGGUGCUGAGGGCAUUGGGGUACGCGUGCUUGGGCGGGCGCUGGGCAGGGCGUGGCCCAGAUCAGUAGUGGGUGUGGUGGGGCUGGAUUAGGGACUGCCCUGCCAUCCUCCUGAUAACGGGAAGUCAGCAGCUCCAGAGGGGUGUCUGGGCCCUUGCUGGACCCCUGGCCUGAAAGCUAACUUGGCCUUUCCUGGAAUGAGUUUAUUAAUAGCCCACAUCCUGGAUGGUGUUGCAAGGCUGAAUGAGACAUUGCGUCAGGCACGAAAGGAACAGGGUUUGAUAAGGUCGCUACUAUCAUUCCGUGAUGACAGAACGGUAAACUGGUGGAGGCGUUUUAAAGGGCACGUGACUAGAAGUGGGCUGGGCGGCCCCUCCACUGGGCCUGCCUGUCUCCCGGGCCUCCUCCUGGAGCCGGGCUCCUCGCACGGACUCCGACACGCGUUCCUCCUCUGGGUCUUGGCUUCCUUUCUGACCACAAUGAGAUCUCCUCUUCUGAUCAUUUUAAACAAAAGUGCUUUGCUCUCCCUCCUCUGAGCCCUCCAAACCCCAGCAGCCGAUCCUCCACGUGCUUCUCUGACACCCUAGCGUUUUCAAUUCUUGUUCGACACCAAGAUUAUUAUCUUGCCCUAUGUAUCUAGGCCAACUUCUUUUAGAAUGCUUCUAAACCGGAUUUAGGCUCCACUGGGGGCAGCUGUGUGGCAUAGGAGGAAGACGCAAUGGGCUAGGGAGCAGGAGGACGCAUCCAGCCCUGCCGGGCAGACCCCGCCCUCGGCAGCUCAUCAGUAAACUGGCAGCAGGACCCGUGCGGGGGGCGGGGAGCGAGGGUCCAAUGCCACCGUGGCUGUGGGCCCAAGGCAGGAGUGAUGUGUGACUGGGGUCAGGUGCCAGGGAACGGGGCCAGGGUUAGGUCUGGGUUGGCUGUGGCUUUUCCAGUGACCCGUGGCCGGCCUCCACACCUGCUGGCUGAGGGUCGGAGCUGCAGAGCCUGUGAGAGGACCAGCCUGAUGCUGAGAUGUGCGGCUGGGAGCUAAGCCGCCCAGCUCCCCCACAAGAGACUCAGAGCCCCAUCAGGUCAGCCUCCGCCCUGUGAGGUCGGGCUCUCUCAGUGACCAGCUCUGACCCAGUCCAAGUAGCUGCUUCUUGGAGGGCCAGGCCCUUCCACGGUCACACUCACGCCUCCCAACAGCCUGGGAACAGAAAUCAUUCCUCCAUUUACAGGAGGAGGAAGCUUGAAAGGGCGCGUGAGCGGCUGAUGUCGGGGCGGGGGGCGGGCGGAGGGCCCUGGGGCUCCACGGGCCCGGCUCCAGGGCUGUGCUCCGUCACGUUGCACAGGGCAGCUCGGUUUCAAGGACCACGCAGCCCGGCCAGAGCUGGGCCUGGAGAUGCCCCGGGACCAGAGCCGGGCCGCCUCCGCACUUGGGAGCCGGGCUGCCUCCGCACUUGGGAGCUGGGCCGCCUCCUUGGUUCAGAGACGCUCCAUCUGAGCUCCACAGAUUCCAGAUGAGAGAAGGGGCUUCCCCCCGCCUCACGCCCUCUACGUGGCUCAGUGCCCGCCCCAGCCCCCAGCUUCAUCCCGCCCCUUCUGUAGAUCCCCCAGCACAGCUGGGUCCCAGGUCUGCAGGGAUGGGCUGGGAGAAGCUGGGGGCAGCAGACAGCACUCUGGCCGGGAACCCAGUUGGAAGGCUUGCUGACCGCAGGGGCCCGCCUGCCCACCACCGUGGGCCCCGCCUGCAGCCUUCCGCCCUGCGUCCCCUCUGUCCUUUGCUUGGGGGUCUGGCAGCCCUCCAUGGACACACCCACCAGCAUCUGAAGGGGAGCUCGGGAGAGGCAAGACUGUGUGCACGCUGACCGUCAGAAGGUCCUGCGUGUGGCGGAGGAGGACGACCUGGACUCGCCCAGAUGGUGAGGGCUGGGCUUCCUUGGAGCCAGCAGGCACGCGUCCCUCGGGCUGGGAGGCCGGCCAGACCUCCCGCGAGGGCCGUGGAGCCACGGCGCGGGGUUGAGGCCCUCCUACCAGCGCGGGCCCUCCUACCAGCGCGGGCCCUCCUACCAGCGCGGGCCCUCCUACCAGCGCGGGCCCUCCUACCAGCGCGGGCCCUCCUACCAGCGCGGGCCCUCCUACCAGCGCGGGCCCUCUGGCGCAUUACCUGUCCUGUCCUGUCCUGGUCCUACUUGCAAAUGAGGGUGACGCUUCAUGUUGAGAACAAGAAGAAAUGGAUGCGGGGCCCCUGGAGCAGAGCCUGCCGCAGAGCUGGCAUUCUGUACAUUGGGCAUUACACUCAUUAAUAACUCCG
ensembl:lncRNA